rnacentral:rRNA from 1 species
AGAUGCGGUCAUACCAGCACUAAUGCACUAGAUUCCAUCAUAACUCUGCUGUUAAGCGUGCAUGGGCGAGAGUAGUACUAUCCUGGGAAUUCCUCGUGUUGCACCUU